AAGAAACCAACAGGGAUUGCCUCAGUAACGGCGAGUGAAGCGGCAACAGCUCAAAUUUGAAAGCUGGCCCCCCCGGGGGUCCGCGUUGUAAUUUGUAGAGGAUGAUUCGGCGAGGGCUCCCGCCUAAGUCCCCUGGAACGGGGCGUCAUAGAGGGUGAGAAUCCCGUAUGCGGUGGGCUGCCUUAGCCAUGUGAAUCUCCUUCGACGAGUCGAGUUGUUUGGGAAUGCAGCUCUAAAUGGGAGGUAAAUUUCUUCUAAAGCUAAAUACCGGCCAGAGACCGAUAGCGCACAAGUAGAGUGAUCGAAAGAUGAAAAGCACUUUGGAAAGAGAGUUAAAAAGUACGUGAAAUUGUUGAAAGGGAAGCGCUUGCAGCCAGACUUGUCCGCAGUUGCUCAGCCGGUCUCCUGACCGGCGCACUCUUCUGCGGCCAGGCCAGCAUCAGUUCGGGCGGUCGGAUAAAGGCCCCGGGAACGUAGCUCCUCUCGGGGAGUGUUAUAGCCCGGGGUGGAAUGCGGCCAGCCUGGACUGAGGAUCUCGCUUCGGCUAGGAUGCUGGCGUAAUGGCUGUAAGCGGCCCGUCUUGAAACACGGACCAAGGAGUCUAACAUCUAUGCGAGUGUUUGGGUGUCAAACCCAUGCGCGUAAUGAAAGUGAACGGAGGUGGGAACCCUCGCGGGUGCACCAUCGACCGAUCCUGAUGUCUUCGGAUGGAUUUGAGUAAGAGCAUAGCUGUUGGGACCCGAAAGAUGGUGAACUAUGCCUGAAUAGGGUGAAGCCAGAGGAAACUCUGGUGGAGGCUCGCAGCGGUUCUGACGUGCAAAUCGAUCGUCAAAUUUGGGUAUAGGGGCGAAAGACUAAUCGAACCAUCGACUACUAGGUGGUUAAGAGGUGGCUGAAAGUGCCCACCUAGUCCCCCCGUCCUCGGACGGGGGGGCGACAUCGCCAAAUUGCGGGGACUCCCUUAGAGCCUCUACUACCGCGGCCGGCCGAAAGGCGCGGUGCAGCACCGGGUUAAUUGCCUAGGGUACGGUAAAAAGGUAGAGGAUUGGGAAAUCCGCAGCCAAGCGCCUAAGUCCCGCGGGAUACGGCGAAGGUUCAGAGACUAGAUGGCGGUGGGUCCGGCCCGAGGGCCGGGCCUAAGGUAUAGUCCACCCCCCGCGGAGACGCGGGCGGAUC
rnacentral:rRNA from 1 species